ACGGGUGCGUAACGCGUAUGCAACCUACCUCUUACUGGGGAAUAGCCCGAAGAAAUUCGGAUUAAUACCGUAUACCUCCUUCGGGAGAAAGAAGGCCUCUCUUUGAAGCUUUCGCUACUAGAUGAGCCUGCGUAAGAUUAGCUUGUUGGUGAGGUAAAGGCUCACCAAGGCGACGAUCUUUAGCGGGUCUGAGAGGACGAUCCGCCACAUUGGGACUGAGACACGGCCCAGACUCC
rnacentral:rRNA from 1 species